UGGCCUUUUCGUCGAAGGUAAACACGAAACAUUCCGAUUUUCCGACCAUCUUGUUGUUCUUCGUCCCAGACGAAUACGUGCUGACCACGGAACGUCGAACUACGUUACACUCUUUAGAGAGUGGAGACCCCGAACAGGGAGGAAAAAAUCGGACGCCGCGGCGCAACGCCCAGUAACUGUUGACUUGUAGGUUUUAACAGUAGCCUUAACAAAGAAGUUUAACUCCGAAUCUUUUAGAAAGUUACCAGGGCCACUGAAGUUCAUUAAAUAAUUCUUGAAUUAUUAAUUCUGGAUUAGAUUUCUGCCUGCAUACUGCACCAUCCAAUUUCAUGGGUCUUCCAGAUCGUAAAGCACCGUCCAGGAUGGUGAGAGGAUCAGCUGGAUCAGACAGCGAGGAAGAAAGACAUGAUAGGUUUAGGUCAGAGAGAAACAGUUCAGCGCUUAAAUCGACAACAUCGCUGUUUUCUUCUGGCCUUGACAGUAAAAAAUCGCCACUGAGAAGGUUAGACAGCCCGAUCAGGGACUCCAAAUACAGGAGGGAGCGGAGUAGAGAAAGGAGAAGAAGUCGAGAAAGGAAAAAGAGCAAAGACCGAGACAGGAAAAAAGAGAGGAGCAAACGGUCUGACAGGAGCUCAAGUAGGACUACACCUACUUAUUACAAUGUGUUGGAAGAACUCAAUCCCGGGAGACGAAGCGAAUCGAGAAGGAGCCAUAGCCAACACCGAGAAGAGAGGAGUAGAAGUAGGAGGAGCCGAGAACGUAGGAGCAGGAGUAGACACAGUGAUGGAAUGACUAAAAGUAAAUCACACAAGCAUAAAGACCGAGAUCAUGUUGAUACAUUUGUCGAAGAAAGGUUUGAAAGAAGAAGACCGUCAGAUAGUGAAGAGAGGGUUGAUAAGACUGUAGUUUAUUGGGAAAGCACUCCCAGUCCGGAAAGAGAACCGAGAAAACAUAAAAAAAGAAAUAAAGAUGAUAAAAAACGAAACAAAGACAAGAAAAAGAGGAAGGAAGAAAAGUCAACUGUGAGCGAAUCUGUUGACUUCGGCCCUGUGCUGCCUCCUCGAUUAGAAUUAAGAAGUGAAACGUCCGAGGACGAAAUUGUACAAAACAAUCUAGACCGGAAAGAACCGCACAUCAAAAAGAAGUCAAAAUCUUCACCCAAGAACUCAGAAACUGAUAAAAAAAAGAAAAGAAAAAAGGAUCUGAGCCAAUCGCCACCUAAAAAACUCAAAGAAAAGUCACUGGAACCGAAAGUUGAGGAGCCAGAAGAACAAAAACAAUUGAAAGAUGAUGUUUUAAGUUCACAUUCUUCACCAAAAUCACCGUCCUUAGAAAUUCCCAAGGAAAAAAGCAUCUGUGCAAACAAUAGUACAGAUUGUAAUAAUACCCAGCCUUCUGUUGGACCUCAAAUGCCCACCCAAGAAGAGGAAAAUACAAAUAUUUAUGGACCAGUUAUUCCUAUUAAUUCAGUGAAACAAGACCAGGAUGGAGAUUCAUCGCUAGAAGAAGGAGAGCUUGUUACGUCGCCAGUGAAGCCAAAGGUUUAUGGGCCAACUUUUCCUGAGCGUCUAGCCAUUGAGCCUGUUCGUGAUGAUGAUGGAGAUGAAGAUCUGUACGGGCCUGCAUUGCCGCCAUCGCUUAAGCACGACGAAAUAGUUCAACAGUCUGAAAACAACGAAGAGGACUUCGGGCCUCUCCCACAAGGGGUCGACGGUGGUAGAGCUCUCAGAGAUCUCGAGAGGCGGGCUGCCAUCAUCAAAGCCCAAAUGGAUAACAAGGUGAGUGUGGGAGGACGAGAUAAUUUUGGAGCCCGCAAGUUUUACACCAUCCUCCAGCGGCUAGUUAACAAAACAAUAUACACCCUCACCGCCUCCUCUUUGUAUGUUAAAAUAGCUGUUGUAAAAAGCGAAGUCGUUUAGGGAUAUUGUCGUGUUUGCAUCUGCAUCCGUCCUUCUCAUGGUGGCCGGAGCUGGUUUUCAUUUCGCUCGGAGCGCCGUUGCACUCUGAGGAGAAUUCUUUGCGUGUUUCUGUUCUACCCGCCCUUCUCUCUUGUUUGUAUGUAAGUGUAAUGAGUUCUCGGGAGGCGCAACCCUUCCAUCUUGGGCUAAGAACGUUAACAGACAAGAGGAGGAGGUGUAGUGGAUCUUGAAGGGUUGGUGAUGAAAUGUGAAAAAUCUGGGACAAGAAAAAAAAUGGGAACGUUUAGACGAGAGCUGCUCAUGUUUGACAGGAUACGGAUGAAGGCGAAGAGACUAAGAGGGAGGCGUGGAUGACAGAGCUACCCGAGGCCAGGCGGGUCGCCCUUGGCCUCGGGCCGAGGAAAUUCCGUGCUAGAGAAGGGCCUGACAUGAACGAUAGGUCGAGCUGGAGUGACACCCCUGCACAGAAAGAAA